UACAGAGGCCUCGAGCGUUAAUCGGAAUCACUGGGCUUAAAGGGUGCGUAGGCGGCGCUGCAAGUGCCUUGUGAAAUCCCAUCGCUUAACGAUGGAACUGCUCGGUAGACUGCAGUGCUUGAGGUUGGUAGGGGCUGCCGGAACUCUAGGUGGAGCGGUGAAAUGCGUAGAUAUCUAGAGGAACGCCCCAGGCGAAGGCAGGCAGAUGGGCCAAUUCUGACGCUGAGGCACGCAAGCGUGGGGAGCAAACGGG
rnacentral:rRNA from 1 species